CCCCUGACGCUGCCUUAGUCUGGUCGGGGGCAGGUGCGGCGGAGGUGUCCCCGAAGGAGAAGGGGGCGGAGGGCAAAGGUCAAAGCCAAGCUUCCGGCGGGCCGGGGAGCCCACACCGAGGGCAGGAGGGAGGGGUUAGGGCCGGCCGGGGCCGAAUUGGGCCCCCAGGGCGGAAUCGCGCCUACGGAGAGCAACGCCUCUGUUAUCUAAUCGAGAACCAGAUUAACAGCCGAGGAGGAAAAAAAGGCAAGAAGGCAUUCUUCAGAUUGGAGGAAUCUUAACUCAACACCCCAGUCUCCUUGCCAGUGGCCAAGGACACUGGUUCUUUUCAAGGCACGUUUCUACCUCUGGACCACCUCAGCCCUUGGAUUUAUGCGGUCCCUAGAAAGGUCUAGAAAGUCAAAGGUCAGGAAGAGGCAUCCUGCGUCUGGUGAGGGAGCCUGUUCAGAGCCCUCAACGGGGACAAGGACACAAUUCGAGCGUGAGCGUUUCCUGUGCCGGAGGGACUUAUGAAACCGCGAGCGGAAAUCGGGUGCCCGGCGGGGGACGCGGCGACGUUUCAGCGUCGCCCACGUUUCUGGCCCCGGCAGCCAAGACCCCCACGACCUGCCGGCUUCUCGGCCGGCGCUGCGACGAUGGGGAACGACAGUUACACCCGAAAGGAAUCAACAACUCCUCGCAGGGCCACGACUCGCGUUGCUCCGCACGCGCAGGUUCGGGCCCGGCUUUCAGCAAUACCCACCCCACCCGCUCCCGAUCGCUAAUCACUCGCUCGCAAUUUGUGGGCUGCGAUGGAGCUGCGCCCCGGGCUGCAGUCCCCCCCAAAUGCAAGCCCUUUGGCAGCUCGGACACCCAGCGAGCUGUCCUCACGCACGCCAGGCCGGCACCUCCCGCUGGCGCUCGCCUCUCCCCGCCCUGUUCCCAGCAGCUGAAAUGGAUGUGAUUUCACGCACACCCUGCGCGCGCACACACAUGCACACGCACUCUCCCGCCGACGCCGCCGGCACACGCGCACGAGCCUGGACGUUUCCUUAUUGCGCUCGCUUUGCGGGACAUGCUUUCCGGCUCCGGGUUCCCUCUUUUCGCUCCUUCACCUCUUCUUCCUUCGCCACUUUCCUUCUGAGCUUCCCGCCCUCCCCGAACCUGGCCUGCCUCAUUCCCCUCCAGC
ensembl:lncRNA